GCUGGGCACAAUGGUGCAUGCCUGUAAUCCCAGUAUCUUAGGAGGCUGAGGCAGGAGGAUCUCAAGUUCAAAGUCAGCCUCAGCAACAGCGAAGUGCUAAGCAACUCAGUGAGACCCUGUUUCUA
rnacentral:sRNA from 1 species